UACGUAGGGUGCGAGCGUUGCCCGGAUUUAUUGGGCGUAAAGGGCGCGUAGGCGGCUCGGCACGUCCGUUGUGAAAUCGCCCGGCUCAACUGGGCGGGGUCAGCGGAUACGGCGUAGCUGGAGCAAGCUAGGGGGCAAUGGAAUUCCCGGUGUAGUGGUGGAAUGCGUAGAUAUCGGGAGGAACACCAGUGGCGAAGGCGGUUGCCUGGAGCUUUGCUGACGCUGAUGCGCGAAAGCGUGGGGAGCGAUCCGG
rnacentral:rRNA from 1 species